rnacentral:rRNA from 1 species
UUGACCUCGGAUCAGGUAGGGAUACCCGCUGAACUUAAGCAUAUCAAUAAGCGGAGGAAAAGAAACCAACAGGGAUUGCCCUAGUAACGGCGAGUGAAGCGGCAACAGCUCAAAUUUGAAAUCUGGCUCUUUCAGAGUCCGAGUUGUAAUUUGCAGAGGGCGCUUUGGCGUUGGCAGCGGUCCAAGUUCUUUGGAACAGGACGUCACAGAGGGUGAGAAUCCCGUACGUGGUCGCUAGCCUUCGCCGUGUAAAGCCCCUUCGACGAGUCGAGUUGUUUGGGAAUGCAGCUCUAAAUGGGAGGUAAAUUUCUUCUAAAGCUAAAUACUGGCCAGAGACCGAUAGCGCACAAGUAGAGUGAUCGAAAGAUGAAAAGCACUUUGGAAAGAGAGUCAAAUAGCACGUGAAAUUGUUGAAAGGGAAGCGCUUGCAGCCAGACUUGCCUGUAGUUGCUUAUCUGGACUUUUGUCCGGUGCACUCUUCUGCGGGCAGGCCAGCAUCAGUUUGGGCGGUUGGAUAAAGGUCUCUGUCAUGUACCUCCUUUCGGGGAGGCCUUAUAGGGGAGACGACAUGCAACCAGCCUGGACUGAG